GAGGUUUAGACGGGGCUCUCUGAACUCCAAACCUAAAGGGAAAUGACGGUAGGCUACGGCUGCUAGUUCAUGGAUGCCCUUGGAUGCGUAAAAAUGGGCUCGAGGGGUUCGCAGCUGAGGGUUUGCAUGAACUAGGAGACGUUGUUGCCUUCAUCUUUUUGGUAUUGGAGUGAAGGGAGCUCCGUUUUCUUCUUCC
rfam:Gossypium raimondii Chr04_contig_925, whole genome shotgun sequence.